rnacentral:tmRNA from 1 species
GGGGGCGACCGGUCUCGACGGGGAUACUGAGACCAUCGGUGCAUGUCGAGUGCUCGGGGACUCGUAAAACUCCGGGAAAAUGCAAUUGCCAACCAAGAACUGGCACUCGCAGCUUAACUAACUGCGACGUUCUUCCAUCUGAUGCCCGCGGGGGUGGGAGAGCGCGAUGCAGCGGGCUGGUCCAAAGCCGGUGCUCAGCGGCCGAGGACGAGACAAUACUGGGCUAGCGGCCAUUCUAAGCCAGCCGACGGGCGUGGAUGGUUGCGAAACCUAAACUGUCGGCUACACAUGUAGAUCCGGUGCGUUGACGAUCUUCGGACAGGGGUUCAACUCCCCUCGCCUCCACCA